CAAGGAAUUUUGGGCAAUGGACGAAAGUCUGACCCAGCGACACCGCGUGAGGGAAUAAGGCCUUCGGGUUGUAAACCUCUUUUCUUGGGGAAGAAUCUCGACGGUACCCAAGGAAUAAGCCUCGGCCAACUACGUGCCAGCAGCCGCGGUAAUACGUAGGAGGCGAACGUUAUUCGGAUUUACUGGGCGUAAAGGGAGCGUAGGCGGUUCCUUAAGUCGGAUGUGAAAUCUUCUGACUCAAUCGGAAGGCGCCAUUUGAUACUGAGGGACUUGAGAGCAGCAGAGGGAAAUGGAAUCUCCAGUGUAGCGGUGAAAUGCGUAGAUAUUGGAGAGAACACCAGUGGCAAAGGCGGUUUCCCAGGCUGCUUCUGACGCUGAGGCUCGAAAGCGUGGGGAGCGAAGCGGAUUAGAUACCCGCGUAGUCCACGCCCUAAACGGUGGACACUAGAUAUGGGAGGUAUUGACCCUUUCUGUGUCGAAGCUAACGCUUUAAGUGUCCCGCCUGGGGAGUACGGCCGCAAGGCUG
rnacentral:rRNA from 1 species